rnacentral:rRNA from 1 species
UACGGAGGGUGCAAGCGUUGUCCGGAAUCAUUGGGCGUAAAGAGUUCGUAGGCGGUAUGUAAAGUCUGGUGUUAAAUCCUGAGGCUUAACUUCAGUUCGGCACUGGAUACUUGCAAACUAGAAUGCGGUAGAGGUAAAGGGAAUUCCUGGUGUAGCGGUGAAAUGCGUAGAUAUCAGGAGGAACAUCGGUGGCGUAAGCGCUUUACUGGGCCGUUAUUGACGCUGAGGAACGAAAGCCGGGGUAGCAAAU